GACGAACGCUGGCGGCGUGCUUAACACAUGCAAGUCGAACGAAGAGCGAUGGAAGCUUGCUUCUAUCAAUCUUAGUGGCGAACGGGUGAGUAACGCGUAAUCAACCUGCCCUUCAGAGGGGGACAACAGUUGGAAACGACUGCUAAUACCGCAUACGAUCUAACCUUGGCAUCGAGGAUAGAUGAAAGGUGGCCUCUACAUGUAAGCUAUCACUGAAGGAGGGGAUUGCGUCUGAUUAGCUAGUUGGAGGGGUAACGGCCCACCAAGGCGAUGAUCAGUAGCCGGUCUGAGAGGAUGAACGGCCACAUUGGGACUGAGACACGGCCCAGACUCCUACGGGAGGCAGCAGUGGGGAAUCUUCCGCAAUGGACGAAAGUCUGACGGAGCAACGCCGCGUGAGUGAUGACGGCCUUCGGGUUGUAAAGCUCUGUUAAUCGGGACGAAAGGCCUUCUUGCGAAUAGUUAGAAGGAUUGACGGUACCGGAAUAGAAAGCCACGGCUAACUACGUG
rnacentral:rRNA from 1 species